AUUGAACGCUAGCGGCAUGCCUUACACAUGCAAGUCGAACGGCAGCACGGGGGCAACCCUGGUGGCGAGUGGCGAACGGGUGAGUAAUACAUCGGAACGUACCCAGUAGUGGGGGAUAACGUAGCGAAAGCUACGCUAAUACCGCAUACGCACUGAGGUGGAAAGCGGGGGAUCGCAAGACCUCGCGCUAUUGGAGCGGCCGGUGGCAGAUUAGCUAGUUGGGGGGGUAAGAGCCUACCAAGGCGACGAUCUGUAGCUGGUCUGAGAGGACGACCAGCCACACUGGGACUGAGACACGGCCCAGACUCCUACGGGAGGCAGCAGUGGGGAAUUUUGGACAAUGGGGGCAACCCUGAUCCAGCAAUGCCGCGUGUGUGAAGAAGGCCUUCGGGUUGUAAAGCACUUUUGGCGGGAACGAAAGGGCCAGGGCUAAUACCCUGGGUUGAUGACGGUACCCGCAGAAUAAGCACCGGCUAACUACGUGCCAGCAGCCGCAGUAA
rnacentral:rRNA from 1 species